rnacentral:lncRNA from 1 species
UCUGCAAGUACGAAAGUGGUUGUAAGUAUAUUGCAGAUUUUCGUGUCCAGUUAGUAAACGAGGAUAAACAAUCUCAGGUUUCGGAAAUAUCCGAAAUUUACCAAUUUCGACAAUAAAGUCGUUGGUCGUACACGGGACAGUUUGUGGCGGUUAAUUUUUAUCCAAGGUCGAAAUUCUUUGCCCUACAAUAGGUAAUCCCACAGCGUUGAAGGGCAGUUUGGCCAUGUUUAGCUCGCGCCAAGGUAGAACAGCUAUUCUUCGACAACAUCGUCUUCAGUUUGCUUUUGGCCAGGGAUGGCAGAGGAGAGCACUGCGAAAUACAAAGGUACCAGACAUUGGCGCGAGCUUGACAGUCGACCGUUUUCCCAACUUUACCAGGAUCAGAGGGAUACUUUUGUAAUUUGACACAUACCUUCGGGAAGAAUGACCGUCGCUAUGCACGACGCGCCAGCUACGACCAUGCAGAGACACAGGGGCCACCGUCUACCCCAACGAUCCAUGACCACCCAGCACGCCAUGUAGCUUGGUAUUUCUGCCAACGAUGAGAAGAAGAAACUCAAAUGCUCUUCACUUCCAAGUGCUGGCCCAUAAUAUGAGAGGCCAACAUAAACCAUGUUGUUGGCAAACCUAAAAACAUGCAGAAAAAUCGUUGAUUGGUAGGUUCAUCGAUUAGAAGGGUAUCUGGCAAAGCAUUGGUCAUAGUUGAUAAAUGGUCCCGAUAUUACGACACUCCUAAAUUAUAAUUGUGUAAUUCAGGUUUGUACAGAGAUCAUGCUUUUCAAAUGCUAACCGAUCCCAUCAAUUUUACAGACGUGAAAUAGACAGGGAAAUAUAGUUGACAUGGAAUUCGGGAUAUUUUGCAAACGGGGGAUUCGAAUUGAAAAUUUAAAAACUUGGGCUACCUUUCUCAAAAUGCUUUCUUUCUAUCUACCUAUGCACAGUUUGGAGAGAAUUAUGAUAGAUAUUUUUAAAGACUAAUAAAAAAAACACAUGACCUUUGGACUUCAUCUUCCAAGUUGACUACACGUACCACCAGUUGUAUCGUGAUUCGAAUAGUUGGUACGCGUUUUAUUAAUACACCUCAAAAUUACCAGUUCAGAGUUAUCAGGCACGUUUUCAGACGCAUAUUUGGCGUUUUAAAAAGUGCGAGGAUGCCGGGUCCGCUGCGGAGUCGUUCCUCUUCGCUCUUAGAUCGUGACAUGGUCAUCCGCUGGCGAAGCUUCUGGGUGAACGAAUCAGGAAGCUCUUUGCCAUUCACCCUUGCUAGUGUUUCCAAAAUUUCAUUCGCUUCCUCCAGACGACCCUUCGCCAGCAGCCAGCGUGGAGAUUCUGGAAGAAACCUUUGCCCAUAGUUGGCCUUACUAUUCAAUAACACCGAGAAGCUUACGAAUAUUAAUUUGGCCAUUUGGCAUGUUCUCACUGUUCUCUUUGAAUGUGGGGAGGGCUCAAGUAUUAUGUUUUACGCUACUGACCACCAAUACAGAAAGUACAGUAGGAACGGGGCACUGGUCGUCAGGGCGAGGAGUCGCCAGUCGCGAACCAGAUACGUAACACCUGCCAGCGUACACAAUCCGAUAGUGUAGAAUGUGCAGGUCAUGACAGUGACGAAGGAGCGGUAAUUUGGCCCUACGAGCUCCAGGGCUGUGAAAAAAUAACCAAACUUGUUUGAGAAUUUCUGCUAUGGCUACUAUUGUGCAGGACUACGGGUGCGAGUUUAAGUCAACCGAUUUUUUUCCCACCAAAGAUUGGAUAAUUCUGUCCUAGACAAUUGGAUUAUGGUGGAACAAUUCAUGACUCUGCUCACACAGCUCGGAUUGCAUCUGAUUUAAAGAGCGAUCCUAAUGAUCUUACAAAUAAUAAACGGUAUUUGAUAAAUUGCAGGAAUCGUCAGGCCCACAAUGAAUCGGGUUCCGGCCCAAGUCCAGAAGGAGUUUGCCACCGACGUUAGGAAUCCACCCGUGAUCAGCGUUGCCAAACAUAUGAAGAACGAUAGUCGGCGUCCGAUUCUGCCCUCAAAAUGAGAAAAUGGAUGUCGUACGAUUUUUGAUAUUGCAAUUAAACACUAAUUGGGAACAUUAGUGAAUUCAAAUUUUACCUGUCAUUCAACAUGCCGAAGAGGAGCCAUAUAAUACCAUAGAGCAAGAAUACGCGUAGCAACCAAACAUACGUCGAUAACGAUGGAAGAAGUCACCUCCGACUCAUCGUACUCCCAGCCAUGAUCGCACGGAAUUACAGACCAGGAAGCGUUGGGUGUAAGAUACUCGGCCAUUAGCAUCGCUGGCGUUUCCCAAUCAAUGUUGUAACGGGUGCAACGGCUGUAAGAUUCGUUGUCCCCCUACCAAGCGACCGUUUAUCAUCGGUACAUGGAAAAAAGGAAAGGAAAGAGUUUGCUGUAAUGAAAGAAAUGAAUCCCAUUCAACGCUACGAGUAGGGUCUCUUAUUGACGCACCUGACUAGGGAUGCCAAGAUGCCGUCUCUGAGGUGGAUCGAGACCCUCGAGUCCAGGUACUUUGCACCAGUGUGGAGGAGUUUCAGACAUGAAAAGCUGAUUGAAGGCGCAAAAUCCGCAUGGCAAACAUGCUGGUAGACAGACGAACCAUAGAAGCAGCCGUUGGUAACGACCAAACUCUCCGACGAUGGGCAACAGAUCGUCAAGGUCGAAUCCAUCCUGUGGCGAAGUUUGUGAGAGAGUCGAAGCAGUGAUGACUUACAAGUUCAAUAAUGGCAAGCAAUCGGGCUACCAGAAGAAAUUAAAGUGGCUAAACAUGUCAAAAUGGUAUUUUGGUAUUUUGGCUCAGACUAUGUAUUGCGAGCGACUUGCAAGAUUUUGCAGGAUACCUGGAUUUUGUUUGCAUUUUAAUCAGUUCAGGAAAAGUAAUAAUUGUAAGGUGAUCUUUACCAUUUACCAACUUGGCGAAUGGAACUGCUGAGCAUUGAAAAUUGGCAUACAACAAAUUCAGGGAUAUUUUGGCACCUAUAUCUGACCACCGGAUGGAUAGACGAAAAAAAUUUCUGUACGAAUAAACUGAGUGAGAUUGAGAUGCAUACUCACGUCGUCGUCGUCGACACGAUGUACUUGCCUGUCAUCUGGCCCCGAGUUAUCUUGAACAUUCAUACUGGCAAUGAUGAGGGGCUGGUCUCAGGCUACUGAAACCUCAAGGAAGCCUUAGAAAAAGGUCAGGUAACAUGUAUCAAGCUUAGUUGUGUCUCAUACGCGUGACAUACAAAAAAUUGCUAACGAAAACUGUGAUUGUGGCAGCCACAAAUUGUGGAUUCAGUAAAAAGGUGUCCAAGAGUUUCAGGAAAUAGUGGAACCGUGUCAAAUGGCAAUAGGGUGGCACUCUAGACGAAUGGCAACGAUGACGUAUAAAAAAAUAUCCAGUCCUGGGGUGGUUCUUCUAUAAUUGAAUUAGGCUGGAGAUGCUUAAGAGAGAUUAAGGGCACUGCUGACACACAGCGCAUUAGAGAGGAUUGAUUUCAUGCUCGGCCGUGUAGGCAUAAAUUCGUUCGACCACUUGGUUAUACGCAUUUACAACAUAACAGCGUACGAUAAAUGGAUUGGCUACCAUAAAAUUUAAUCCUAAUUUACCACACGUAAUUCGUCGUACUGACCUCUGGGGCAGUGCGCAACCACCCCACACAUAUAGCGGCUGGUUUUCUUCUAUUCAAAAUAGUAAUUACAAUAUAAUUCACCCUACAAAAUGCAGGUUACAUUUAAGGACAGCUUGUCAAGCUGCCGAGUUGAAAUCGAUUAGUUGAACAGCAUGGUGAAGGAAUUUUAGGGCUUUAUAUGCAGAUAUUAUACAGGUGAUGCACAUCUUUUCAGCAUCAGGAUGCUACAAAUAAUGGCUAAGGCCUAAACGCUUCAAUAUUCCAGUGUUUUCUGACGAAUUUGAUUUCAUCCCGGUAUUGCCAAGUUAUCCUACUUCUAGAAAUCUCAAAGGACCUCUAAGUGAUUGGCGCAUUUCAUACUAUUGGAUGCAAAAUUUUUAUUCGUUCUUUCAUAUCAUUUACACCCGCCACGCCACCAUUGAUGCAAUGUAAUUCAUUCAUUUAUUACUCUCACUAUGAAAUUCUUUCAGGCUGCACCCGUGCACAUCAUACAAUCUGGAAAUGAUUAUUUAUUUGGAUAAUUUUAGCAGUCUACAGUGAAAUUAUCAAGCUUUUGACUAUCGAUACAUAAUCUUGAAAUUCCGAAUCAAUACUCACAAAAAACAAAGCUCCAUACAGACUCAAUAUACGUAAAAGUGAAAUUAUCGGAGCCAGAUUGCCUUGGCCCAUCAAUUCCAUGUUUUUUUACAUUCCACGAGUAGGCAUACAGUCGUCCAUUUAAUUGCAGAUGAUACAAAAGUUUACAUCAAUACAAAACUGAACUGUCGAUUGGCAGAACGAAGAGUAUGCAAGGGGAAAUUUUAUUUUCAGUGACUGUGAGGUAAGAACUCGUGUACCUGUAAGUAGUAAUAGUGAUACAUAGCUCUUGAUAAAGAUCCAUCGACAAUUCGAUAGAUGGGAUGCCAAAUUCAUGGUAAAAAUGACGCUAUACUUUUAUUAGUUACAUGUUUUUAUUCAGAAUCCAUAUGGGAGAUACCCACUGUUCUUUGAUUAUUCACUCGGUAAAUUUUUUUUUCUUUAACCCAAUUUAGCAACUUAAAUCACUGAUGAAAAAAGAAACAAUUACCACAGAGUGCCAAAUAUCGCUUCACGACGUAGAAAAGUGCCAUACGAAAGUCAGUUUAAUAAUCGUAUUGAUAUAGGUAUUGUUGGAGUACACGUGGAAAUAAUCGAUUACCUGAUCUGAUCAUAAGCACAGACGUUUUUGAGUGCUUGAAGUAAGGACUCAGAUGAUCCAAUAAUAACAAUUGUCAUUUAGGUGUAUUUUUAGUAUGUAACAAUCAAAAACAACACAUAUAUUUCAAGACAAGGGCCAAGUUUGCCGAGCCUAUAACAUCAACAAAUGUUAUAUCUGCUCGUACAAGAUUUGGCAGGUUUCCUGAGUAAUAAUUUUGUGUCACGUUAUAUAUUCUUGGUUUCAAUAAACAUAAACUAAAGUGGAUGAGAGCUAUUACAAAGAGAAAACAGGGAGUAAUAAAAGAAGAUGUAAUAAAUAUA